AGCAUGGAACAGGCUGUGUGCAGCUGCUGUGUUUUCCACUGAUUAAAUUGAUAGUUACCUACUGAGUGGAGUUGCUAGGAGAAGAGCUCGUAAACUGCAGGAAUUCUGAUGUGCUUCAGUGCACAGAGCAGUAACAGAUGAGCUGCUUUCCGGGAGAGCUCGAACACUCAGACGGUCAGUAGUACAGUAGCAAGCUCACACGUGUGGAUCGUCCCCGUGAGGAGCUUCAGGAUGGGGUCGACUGCUACAGAAAUUGAAGAACUGGAAAACACCUCUUUUAAGUACCUCAUAGGAGAACAGACUGAAAAAAUGUGGCAACGCCUGAAGGGAAUGUG